GCUGCUGUGGCUCAGGUGGUAGAGCGUCGCCUUGGUAAGGCGGAGGUCACGAGUUCGAGUCUCGUCAGCAGCU
rnacentral:tRNA from 2 species